GUGUUUUGAUUACUGUACAAUUGUCCUGCUGUGUCUGUGCCACUGAAAUGCUAUCAUGGCUUAGUGGUUCAGUACAG